CACUGAGUGAAUACUUGCAUAGUUUUGUUGAUUGAAUGAAGGACUGCAGCAUCUCAGGAAAGAUGUAACUGAACUCUGGUGUGUCAGAAUACUUGGACAUUCCAUCUUAUCUCCCUCUUGUUUCCGGGAAAGGUAUCAGGCCCAAAAAGUACUCUGGAGAAAAGGGAAAAGUUUGAUGGUUUGAUGACUACUACACAGUGUUUCAGAAGGAGAAGCUGGGGCAGAUGUUGACAUGAGAUCUGGAGCACACCUUCCCAGUGGGGGUACCAGGAUAGAAGACCUCCCAUCAUCACUUUUACUCCUGAGGGACGAGGGGCAGACUUGUAUCGUGGUCACAAGUGCAGAGGAAGUUUGUGUAGAUGUUCCUGAACUUCAGAAAUACACGCUCGACCUUCAAGAGUUUCUGCUAAUUUGUUCAGUGUUCACACAGUGUGUAGCACAGGCCUCCUGCUAUGCCUCGUGAGUGCUGCUGCAGUACAGCCACCUUUCCUUUUGUUUGGGCACCUUUAUCAGUACAGCUGAAGGGAACACUGUGUGGACUGUGAAUUCCUCUCCAAGAUCAUGUAAA